rnacentral:rRNA from 1 species
UGCGUAGGCGGAAGAUUAAGUCAGUAGUGAAAUCCUGCAGCUUAACUGUAGAACUGUUAUUGAUACUGGUUUUCUUGAAUAUAGUUGAGGUAGGCGGAAUGUGUAAUGUAGCGGUGAAAUGCUUAGAUAUUACACAGAACACCGAUUGCGAAGGCAGCUUACUAAGCUAUGAUUGACGCUGAGGUACGAAAGCGUGGGGAGCGAACAGGAUUAGAUACCCUGGUAGUCC